GCAAACUUGGUCAUUUAGAGGAAGUAAAAGUCGUAACAAGGUCAUCGUAGGUGAACCUGCGGUGGGAUCAUUAAAGGAUUCUCUUAUGUGUAUUCCUUCUUAGUUUAGUUAGGAAGGGGUAUGUGUGUGGUUCCUAUGGGUAUAAAGCUUGGUAGAGGGUGGUUAGGUAGUGCCUAUGGCAUUACCUGCGCUCCUAUCAAAAAAGAGCAUGGCAUUGCCUACACUUGGUAGCCUUGUGCUACCGCGUAGGCCGUAGGCAGCGCCCUGCUCUUGCCAAAUCUCCAACUCUUGUGAAACCUUUUUCAUAACCAAAAUCUUACCAAAUGUGCUAGUUUGCAUAAUAAUCUUAUACAACUACCAAUGGCGGAUCACUUGGCUCUUGCAUCGAUGAAGAACGCAGC
rnacentral:misc_RNA from 1 species